rnacentral:misc_RNA from 1 species
UUGUUUUUGUUACGACGAUUUACAUUCAUUACGCUAAAGUUUUUGGUUGGUGUUUUGCGCCGGGGGCCAUGAGCCCCAAGACGUACCCAGUUCACGGUGUGUGUGGAAUAGACACGGCCAGAGGCCAAUCUCUAAUGAUCCUUCCGCAGGUUCACCUACGGAAA